UACGGAGGGUGCAAGCGUUAUCCGGAUUCACUGGGUUUAAAGGGUGCGUAGGUGGGCAGGUAAGUCAGUGGUGAAAUCUCCGGGCUUAACCCGGAAACUGCCAUUGAUACUAUCAGUCUUGAAUACCGUGGAGGUAAGCGGAAUAUGUCAUGUAGCGGUGAAAUGCUUAGAUAUGACAUAGAACACCAAUUGCGAAGGCAGCUGGCUACACAGUUAUUGACGCUGAGGCACGAAAGCGUGGGGAUCAAACAGG
rnacentral:rRNA from 1 species